GAUGAACGCUGGCGGCGUGCCUAAUACAUGCAAGUCGAGCGAACAGACGAGGAGCUUGCUCCUCUGACGUUAGCGGCGGACGGGUGAGUAACACGUGGAUAACCUACCUAUAAGACUGGGAUAACUUCGGGAAACCGGAGCUAAUACCGGAUAAUAUAUUGAACCGCAUGGUUCAAUAGUGAAAGACGGUUUUGCUGUCACUUAUAGAUGGAUCCGCGCCGCAUUAGCUAGUUGGUAAGGUAACGGCUUACCAAGGCAACGAUGCGUAGCCGACCUGAGAGGGUGAUCGGCCACACUGGAACUGAGACACGGUCCAGACUCCUACGGGAGGCAGCAGUGGGGAAUCUUCCGCAAUGGGCGAAAGCCUGACGGAGCAACGCCGCGUGAGUGAUGAAGGUCUUCGGAUCGUAAAACUCUGUUAUUAGGGAAGAACAAAUGUGUAAGUAACUAUGCACGUCUUGACGGUACCUAAUCAGAAAGCCACGGCUAACUACGUG
rnacentral:rRNA from 1 species